rnacentral:pre_miRNA from 1 species
GGAUAUCAUUGUUUUGCUAUCCCGGCCAGUAACAUGAUGACACGUAAAAAAGUUAUUCCACGUGUCAUUGUGUUAUUGGCCAAGAAUAGCAAAAAAAUUAUUAUCC